rnacentral:rRNA from 1 species
CAGAUUGAACGCUGGCGGCUCCUUACACAUGCAGUCGACGGUAACAGGUCUUCGGACGCUGACGAGUGGCGAACGGGUGAGUAAUACAUCGGAACGUGCCCAGUCGUGGGGGAUAACUACUCGAAAGAGUAGCUAAUACCGCAUACGAUCUGAGGAUGAAAGCGGGGGACCUUCGGGCCUCGCGCGAUUGGAGCGGCCGAUGGCAGAUUAGGUAGUUGGUGGGAUAAAAGCUUACCAAGCCGACGAUCUGUAGCUGGUCUGAGAGGACGACCAGCCACACUGGGACUGAGACACGGCCCAGACUCCUACGGGAGGCAGCAGUGGGGAAUUUUGGACAAUGGGCGAAAGCCUGAUCCAGCAAUGCCGCGUGCAGGAUGAAGGCCUUCGGGUUGUAAACUGCUUUUGUACGGAACGAAAAAGCUUCUCCUAAUACGAGAGGCCCAUGACGGUACCGUAAGAAUAAGCACCGGCUAACUACGUGCCAGCAGCCGCGGUAAUACGUAGGGUGCGAGCGUUAAUCGGAAUUACUGGGCGUAAAGCGUGCGCAGGCGGUUAUGUAAGACAGAUGUGAAAUCCCCGGGCUCAACCUGGGAACUGCAUUUGUGACUGCAUGGCUAGAGUACGGUAGAGGGGGAUGGAAUUCCGCGUGUAGCAGUGAAAUGCGUAGAUAUGCGGAGGAACACCGAUGGCGAAGGCAAUCCCCUGGACCUGUACUGACGCUCAUGCACGAAAGCGUGGG